rnacentral:rRNA from 1 species
AACGAACGCUGGCGGCAUGCCUAACACAUGCAAGUCGAACGAGACCUUCGGGUCUAGUGGCGCACGGGUGCGUAACGCGUGGGAACCUGCCUUUAGGUUCGGAAUAACUCAGAGAAAUUUGAGCUAAUACCGGAUAAUGUCUUCGGACCAAAGAUUUAUCGCCUUUAGAUGGGUCCGCGUAAGAUUAGCUAGUUGGUGGGGUAAAGGCCUACCAAGGCGACGAUCUUUAGCUGGUCUGAGAGGAUGAUCAGCCACACUGGGACUGAGACACGGCCCAGACUCCUACGGGAGGCAGCAGUGGGGAAUAUUGGACAAUGGGCGAAAGCCUGAUCCAGCAAUGCCGCGUGAGUGAUGAAGGCCUUAGGGUUGUAAAGCUCUUUUACCCGGGGAUGAUAAUGACAGUACCGGGAGAAUAAGCCCCGGCUAAACUCCGUGCCAGCAGCCGCGGUAAU